AAUUUUUUAGACUUGAUCGAAGAGAAGAAUAUCUUCUAUAUUGCCUUUAAUUUUUAUUUUGUGAUAAAAUUUAUUCAAUUUUAACUAAGAUUGUUAGAGAACGGCAAGAUAGAGACAAAAUUAACGUGGUACGUAAUUAAAAUAAUUCUUCACCAAAAAAUAUACAAUGGGCUCUAAAAUAUAAUUGGAAGAUUCCAUUUAGCGAGUAAAUAUGGUACAACUUGGCAUGCCAGCUGCCUCGCCCAAGCAACUGGUACAAGACUAUGAGUUGACCUGUUACAUCCAUGCAAGCCAAACUAUUUGUAACUAAACACUUCAGUUCUUGAAACAUUCACUCUUCAAGGUGAAAAUUUUCAUAAUAUCCUGCUUUGUUAUAAAUAAUGUUGAGUUCUGGCCAAUCUACAUGGCCUCAUAUUCUUGUCUUGUUGAUUCUGUACAAGUUCACAAUUUCAGCAAGUAAAUCAGUCUCUUACACCAAACACUGUGCUUCUGUUGUCCCUGCGGCAACUCCAACAACUUAUGAUACAAAUGUCCCCUUUUCUGAACUGGAUACCUUAAAUUCUUUUGUGCCAGAGCCUCGAAGAAUCUUCCGCCAGAAUUCUUCUGUAACUUCUCUCAAUUUUCGCUCAGUAGGACGUAUCUAUGAAACAGAUCUUAAAGGUGUUUACAAGAUUGAUGCUGAGUUGAGAAUACGGGUUUAUAAUUAUAUUGAUGAUACUUAUGAUUUUGUGAGCACUUCAACUCAGGGAAGAUCAUCUCGACGUCCUAGGAGGUUUGAACGGUUGAUAUUCUUGAUACAUGGAUUCUGGUCAGAGUCUUCUGGGAAAGGCUGCUUAGUGGGAUCUGCUCCUUGGUACUCAAGUAAAGGUGAGCAUAUCACUCUUGAAGCUAUGUUUAAGAUAAAUUUUUCUAUGAGUUCAACAUAUUCUAACAGUUUUGUAACUGGGGAAUUCGAAAGCUUGAGUCAUUUGAAUGAUGAUAGUUACUUUAAUCCGAUUUCAGUAUAUUCUGUUCCUGAAGUAACUUGGUAUGAGUAUAAGUUAAUAUCUGAGGAAACUGUGAAAGAAUACUAUGUAUUUCAUAAUGCUGAAAGUUCAGUUCCUGGUUCAAAACUUGGAAAGAUAUGUUCGUUUUUCAACAAAAUGCAUCUCUCUGAUUUUUCUCUGGAGUAUGCGCGCAGUUGCAACAGUUCUUUAAGGAAAUGUUCUCUGCUUGACGGAGUAGAUAAAUAUUCGCCUGGUUAUGUUUCCUUGUAUAUCAUUCAAUGCAAUGAAUACAGAAAGAUGAUGCGCAUUUUGGUACGCCUUCCGACCCCGGGCUAUGAUGAGAGGUAUGAUAUGUUGGAUCCCAACACAACAUUAGUUGGGGAAGGAUUGUGGGAUGAGAAAACGAAUUCUCUAGUCAUCGUUGCUUGCAGGACUUCAAGUUCCAGUUCUUCCGGAGAUGCUCAUCUUGGGGAUUGUUCAUUUCGGUUAAGCCUGUAUUACCCUUCAGUAUGGUCAAUUAAAACCAGGGACAAAGUUGUGGGACGGAUUUGGACAAAUAAGACUGCACAAGAUGUAGGGUACUUCGACCCGAUCAAUUUCAGGAAUUCUGUUGGAUUCAUAAAAGUGCCUGGUUUUAAGUAUGAAUACACUGAAAUUGAGAAGGUAUAUAAGCUAUGCCCAAAGAAGGCUCUUACAAGGGGAGAGAGAUACCCAAGUGGAGAGUUCUAUGAUAUGAGGUUUGACAUGUCUUUGCAAGACUCAGAGUAUAUUGGUGGGGCUUCUGCAAAACCGAUCUUCAUAGGCAAUAAAUCGUAUCUGGAUUAUUCUGUUUUUAGAACAAACUCAAGACAGGGAGGUAAUGGAGAAAAUGUAAAAUCCGAAGUGGAGUUUGAAAAUGUUGUUUCGGAUAAUGUUCAAUUGAAUGUUAGUUACAAAUUGGGGAUUUCAUUAAUGAGUGGUGUCAAAUCGGGAUCUGGCCGUCAUUCUAUACUGCAUACAUCCUUCAGACCACACGGUUAUAUAAUUAUAUCUGCUGAAGGAGUUUAUGAUUCUGGAACAGGAUCCCUUUGUAUGACAGGCUGUAGAAAUCUGGCCUUUCGCAAUUUUCAGGACUGUGAUAUAGUCCUGCAUUUCCACUUCCCCGGAUCAACCAGGGCUAAAGGUGGUUUUAUGAAGGGUAGCAUACAAAGCACAAGGAAUCAAAGUGACCCGCUUUUCUUUGAGCAGUUGAACAUGACAUCAUCCGCCUCCACCAGUUCUGAGGAACGGCAAUCCUUAUGGAGGAUUGAUUUAGAGAUCACAAUGGUUUUGAUCUGUAACAUGAAUGCAUGUAUACUUGUUUGUUUUCAGCUUUACCAUAUGAAAAGGUAUCCUAGUACCGUUCCUCAUAUGUCACUUGUUAUGCUUGUGAUACUUGCAUUGGGGCACCUGAUCCCUCUCGUCCUAAACUUUGAAGCACUGUCCAUGGCACCGCAAAAUACACAAACUAUAAAGCUAGGUAGAUUUGAAUGGCUAGAAGUGAAUGAGGUGAUUGUAAGAGUUGCUACAAUGGUAGCCUUCAUCAUGCAAUUCCGUCUCCUUCAAUUAGCCUGGACUGCACGACAUGCUGGCCAGAGUACUGAUCCGGACAUAUCAGUUGCUGAGAUAAAGACUUUACUAGUUUUGUUGCCAAUAUACAUAGUUGGUGGGAUGGAUGCAUAUCUUUUGAAAUGGGAGAAGUUUAACUAUAGCAAGUCAUCGCGUGCACUUAACUAUUCACGAGUUCAGUACCAACAAUAUACUCUCUGGGGAUAUUUGAGAUCAUAUGCUACCCUGAUACUUGAUGGCUUUCUCUUUCCCCAAGUAAUUCUCAAUUUAUUCCAGAUGUCAAGGCAAAGUGCUCUGUCUAUGCCGUUUAUCCUAGGAACGACAUUGGUUCAUUCAGUUCCUCAUGCCUACCACCUUUAUGUCAACAACUAUGUGUACGCAAAUCCUAGUGCAGAUUUUUAUUCUGCCGCUUGGGAUACCAUCAUUCCACUGGCAAGUUUUUUGCUCGUUGCGGUCAUAUAUUUGCAGCAAAGGUAUGGUGGCCUUGUUAUUCUUCCUACGAAAUUCAGGGACUUGGAAUUAUAUGCAAAAGUGCCUGAAGCUUAAUGGCAAUAUUGUUGCUUCUCUGGUUUAGUAAUUUCUGUAAUGUAUUGUUGCCGUUUGCGGGCUUCUGUAUAUUUAACAAGAACUUCUUGUCCUCUCUGAAUAUUGUUUGUUUCUUAAAAUUGGAAUUAUGAUUGCUUUUCUGUUUUGAUUACCAGGCAAGAGCUCUCUUUUUAUGCAGAAUGCGUUUACAGACAGUUUAGUUUGGUCUUAAAUUUUAGCUUAGAUAAGAGGUUUGUCUUGUGGCAUGUGUUGAUGUUUCCUGCUACUUGAACUUUUGAAAAACUGUUACUCCUACUGGGCACUGGCUCAACUUUUCUUCACCCCCAACGGCAUCUCCAACUUUUAGAAUUUUUAACUAAAAAUAAUUAAUACUGAUUAUAAAUAAAAUUUAUAGAGACAUGUAAAAGAAUUUCAAUUUUAAGACAUUGAUAUCUCUAAUUUUAGCCAAAAUCAACAUCUAAAGAGGCAAAAUUUCAUAUCAUCUAUUAUGUUACUAAAAUAAUGUAUGUUAUUUUCAUAAUAAUUUGAAAUGAUAAUUAUAUUAUUUUAAAAUAGUCAUUUAAUAUCAUGAAAGCGGUGUUAUAGAAAUUGGGAGAUGUAAUCGGUUAAGUUACUAAUUUAGGAUUAAUCGUAAUCGAGAAUUAAUCGGGUGAAAAUCAAAUAAGUUUUUAUUAAUUUUUUUUAAUAUUUAGUUAUCAUUAUAUUAGUUAUUUAUUGAAAAAUAUAUUUACUAUAUCAUAAAUUCUAUAAUUGCUCGUAUUUAAAAUGAUAUAGUAUUUUAUUUUUAAUAAAUUAUUAUAUAUUUUUUGAUUAAAAAAAUUGUAAAAAUAAAUCGGAUUUCAAAAACUAAAUUGAUCUGUAAUAUUAUACAAAAAGUAAUCAAUUAAAUUGGAAAUUUUUAAUACACUGCGGGAAAGUAAAAUGUUUUACACGUCUUCAAAUUUUAAGCAAUCCAAUUCAGUCAAACGCUCUAUCCAAAUGGAAUGAUCUGAAUGUGAUGGAAGGUAAUAAUUCAGAAUUUGAGACAUUAAUAUUUUAAAUUUGAGACAUCAAUAUUUUAAAUUGUAAUAAUGAAAGCCAACAAUUGAGUUUUGAAGGAUUUUAACACAUCUUUUGUUAAAAUCUUGUAGGCUUUUGAGAGAUUUCCAACAUUGUAAAAUACACUAGUAAAACCAUCAGAAUUCACUAUUAUAAAAUUAAAAAAAAUCUUUUUUUCUAAACAUCAUCAAUUUUAUAAUAUUUAAAAUUCUAAUAUGAUAUCUCAAGAUUUUAGAAAAUUAUUUCUUAUUUUUGUCCAAUAUCAUAGUAGUAUAAUCAACUUUUUCGGUACUAGUUGAAUAAUUAUGGAGAAUUUGUUUGCAUGAACUAUACUUUUUAAAGAAAAAUGUAUCUUUCACAAAAUUUCAAUUUUUUUAAAAGAUUUCCAAAAUUACAAGGGACACUAGUAAGUUCAUCAGAAAUUUUUUAUUAUAAAAUAUUUAGAAAAUAUAUCUACAUAUCACCGGUUUAUAAAAAUAUUUAAAUUUUUAAUUCAAUAUCUCGAAAUUUAAAAGAUAAUUUACGAUUCUUAUUAUCAAACUUUUAGGUGGUGUGUUCGACUAAGAUUUAAUGGAUUGUAUUUAAUUUUUUGAUUUUAAUGAAUUGUAUGUGAUUUUGAUUUUAUGCAGGUUCUUGAUAAAAUGUCGUAGAGUUGAUGUAGAUUUUUCAAGAUUUAAGCACAAUAUUUUAAAAUCUCAUCAAUUUUGUUGGGAUUUUAAAAAUUUUAAGAUACACUGAAAAAUACCAAAAAAUCAAUCAUUUUAUAAAAUCCAAAAAAUCCAUCAUCAUUUGAAACAAUCCAAUCGAACAACAUUGAAUUUUUGAACAUAAUUUAAUAUUCUGAUUGAAUAUCACCAUAUUUCAUCACAUGAUAUAAAACCUCAAUUGAAUAAUUCAAGAUUUUAAUAAAUUUUAAAUAAUCUCAAUUAAUACGUUCAAAAUUUGUGAAUGAAGAAAUCUUAUAAAAUCUCAAUUGAAUAUAGUGUCUUGUUUGAAUUGAAUAUUCAAUUGAAACAUCGGAUUUUUAAAGAUAAUUUAAUAUCCUAAUUGAAUAUCACCAGAUUUCAUCACAUGAUAUAAAAUCUCAACUGAAUAUCUCAAGAUUUUAAUAAAUUUCAAACAAUCUCAAUUAAUACUCCCUCCGUCCCUUUUUACUUGUCACCUUUGUUAUUGUGCCGGUCAAAUUGAUCAAAAUUUGAUUGAAAUUUAUUAAUAUUUUAUCAAUUAAAAAAAGUUAAAAAAUAUGUAAUCGGAAAUAACUUUUAAUCUACUUUAAGAUGUAAUUUUCAAUUUUUUAAAAUAAUAAAAGAGUGACUUAUAAUUUUUGAUUAAAAAUUAGUUAAUUUGACAAACAAAAAUAAAAAUAUGACACUAAAAAAAUACAAUAACUAUAUUCAAAUCUCUUAGAAUGAAAAAUAUCUUUUAAAAUCUCAAUUGAAUAUUGAAUAUAACGUCUUGUUUGAAUUGAAUAUUCCUUCAUACGAAUUGAGAAUUGAAUGCAGCCCACAAUCACAUCACAUAUAUAUAUUUGUAUUAUUUCAAUCGCUGUGUUCUUGUGUCUCCUCUCCUUAAAAAACUAAAAUGGCGAUACAACUUACAGGAUUGCAAACAAGUCACGGCAGAGUCACGGUUCUAGUUUGAUCUAAGAUAUUACAAUUUAGUGUUAAUCGGUAAGAAGUUAUCAAUUAAUCUCUUUAAGUUCGCUGUUUACACCUCUUUGCCUCUUUAUUUUUCCUUCAGGAUUAGGGCUUUUACGAUUCAUAAAAUUGAUUGUUGUAAACUGGGUUCCUAAAUUCAGGUCUUAAAUACAAGGUGGAAGGCUAUAUUCUUUGAUAUUUAUACAUCAUAAUUCAGAAUUGUGCUUCCUCAGAGAUCAACGAUUUACUCCUGAGACUCCUAAGGCUUGAGGUAUGUAUACAUAUUUACUCAAUAAUUAACCCUCCGUUAACUGCCUAAUUGUGCUUAAUUGUCAGAGUGUAUUACUUAACUGUUUUGGAGUUAAAAUCUUAUACCCAUGGACUCUGAUUAAAUAUGUUUCAGAUGUGGUGAAACCGAAACACACUCUCCGUUCUUUCUUUAAAAGUAUAUCAGAACCUUAUAUAACUGAAGUAGGCACUAAUCAAAGUGAAACUUCUGUGUGUUGGUUGGGGUGAAUGAAAAUGAAAGGAAUGUAAUGAAAUUUGAAUUACAAUUUUGUUGAAUGUUUAAUAAUUUCAUUCCUUUCACUAUUCCAUUCCUAUUAUCCUUAACUAGAGCUCAAACCCUCCACUUUGUGAAGGAAUGUAAUAUUCUUUAUCAUACCUAUUUUCUACUCAAAUCUCAUUUAACAAAAUUUGCAUUCACUCCUUAUUCAAAGGCCUACUAUGACAAGAUGUAUAAAAAUGGAAUAGCAGGGAAUUUAAUAACUACUCCAUAUCGGGAGAAUUCAAUCGUUUAUAUGAAUGAAAAAGGAAAUUCAAUAAAUCCUCCUCCAUGGAAUCAGUUGAAUGAAAGUAUUUACGAUAACAUUGGAAUCCUGACCAUGAAAGAAAUUGAUAAAUUGGUGUUUGAAGAUCUCUUAAAUUGGUGUUUGAAGAUCUUCAAGCCUAGUAGGAUCCUCAUGCAACAAUUUAUCAAUUUCUUCUAUGGUCGGGAUUCCAGUGUCAUCUUAAAUGCUUUCAUUCAAUUGUUUUGUUGGAAGAAGAGUUAUUGAAUUCCUCCUCGUUUCAUUCAUAUACACGUCUGUCUUCUCCCAACUGUUCUGUGAAGUAGUUAUCGAAUUUCUUACUAUUGCAUUCUUAUACAUUUUGUCACAGGACUUAAUCUAGUCUAAUCCACCAACAGUAGCGACAUCGUCGUAAUGAUUAUUGCCUUCAUAGUUCAUUGUUCCUUCAGCACCACAACUAUUAACUUUACCAAGCUUUUUCUUCAGAUGGACAUACUAGUAGUUUUUAAUGUCAUCAUGAGUUCUACCAGGCAGGUGUGCAGCAAUGGCAGCUUAUCUAAACAUACACGAAAUCUAUUUAAAGUCCUCCCUCCUACCCCCUAUUAUUUCCUUUUAUUUUCACACAUUCCAUUCACCCCCUACCAAACACAACAUUGAAUGCUUUGUAGCCUAUUGUUGAGCCUGUUGAACCUAAACUAAUAUUUUUUAUAGUAAUAGUUUUAGAAUAAUGAAUACAUCUAAAUAAGUUUUCAAAUAUCUCUUUUAGCAAUUAGCAACUUUAUGUAUACAUAUUUACUCAAUACUUAACCCUCCGUUAACUGCCUAAUUGUGCUUAAUUGUCAGAGUGUAUCACUUAACUGUUUUGGAGUUAAAAUCUUAUACCCAUGGACUCUGAUUAAAUAUGUUUCAGAUGUGGUGAAACCGAAACACACUCUCUGUUCUUUCUUUAAAAGUGUAUUAGAACCUUAUAUAACUGAAAGGCACUAAUCAAAGUGAAACUUCUGUGUGUUGGUUGGUGUGAAUGAAAAUGAAAGGAAUGGAAUGAAAUUUGAAUUACAAAUUUGUUGAAUGUUUAAUAAUUUCAUUCAUUUGACUAUUCCAUUCUUAUUAUCCUUAACUAGAGCUCAAACCCUCCACUUUGUGAAGGAAUGUAAUAUUCCUUAUUAUACCUAUUUUCUACCCAAAUCUCAUUUAACAAAAUUUGCAUUUACUCCUUAUUCAAAGUCCUCCCUCCUACCCCCUAUUAUUUCCUUUUAUUUUCAUUCAUUCCAUUCACCCCCUACCAAACACAACAUUGAAUCCUUUCUAGCGUAUUUGAGAUUGUAUCAUUAAACACAUAGGCCAAUACAUUAUUCUUUUAAUUGUCCUAUUUAAAAGACCAAGACAAAUGAGUAAAUUAAUAAAAGUGUUGUUAACGGUUGCCAUUGAGAGUUUGAUGGCGGAUAAUUAUCUUAUCUUCCUCGGGGGUAAAAUUUCACCGAUAUCAGGGUUAAGAUGAUUCACCUACCUUAAUCUACAACUCUUACCAUUCCUAUGCAACCCUGUUAAAUUACAAAAUUAAUCAGGAUAUAUAACCAAAUACAAACUCGCUAAAAUGAGACAUAAAUUAAUAGCAUAGUUUAACAAAAAAAAAGUACAUAUAUACCAGCAAGUUUAGGAAGGGUUGUCUAAUUGCAUGUAUCAUGUUUUUGGACGUAAGAUACCAAUUUACUAUCUUCUUCAGAAGUCCAUGCUUCUUUCGUUUUUGCUUUUAUUUUCUCAGCCGACCUCCUUAUCUCUCUUUCUCUUUAUCAUUGACUAUAUAUAUGUAAGAGAUAAUGAGGUCAGAGAAUGAAAGAGACAAAGGAGCAUGGACUUUUGAACAAGAUAGCAAGUUGGUGUCUUAAGUCCAAAAACAUGGUACAUGCAAUUGGACAUUCGUUCCUAAAAGUAGUGGUAUAUAACUGUUUUUUUUGCUAUAAUGUGUUAUUAAUUUAUGUCUCAUUUCGGAUGAGUUUGUAUUUGGUUACAUAUCCUGAUUAGUUUCAUAAUUUAUUAGCGUUGCAUAGGAAUGGUAACAGCUAUAGAUUAAGGUGGAUGAAUCAUCUCAGCCCUGAUUUGAAAGGGGAAAUUUUACUACUGACGAAGAUCAGAUAAUUAUCCGUCAUCAAGCUCUUAAUGGCAACCGGUACUGGCUCUUUUAUUUAUUCAUUUCUCUUGGCCUCUUAAAUAGGACAAUGAAAAUAAGAAUUUAUUAGCGUACGUGUUUAAUAUACAAUUUUAAAGCCGCUUAUUCGUAAAAGCAAUUGCCUUCUCCUGAUUAUUCUGUUGAGUAGUUAUCGAAUUCACUACUAUUACAUUCUUACACAUCUUGUCAUAGUAGGCUUUUAUGUAGUCUAAUCCACCAAUAGUAGCAACAUCGUCAUAAUGUUUAUAGUCUUCAAAAUUCUGUUUUCCUUCAACACCACGACUGUUAACUUUACCAAGCUUCUUCUUCAGAUGGACAUGCCAGUAGUUUUUAAUGUCAUUAUCCGUCCUACCAGGCAUGUGUGCUGCAAUGGCAGCCCAUCUACACUUACACGAAAUUUAAAUAAAAUUUAAAGUGUCAAAUGCAUUAACAUAGUAACAUAAAUAUUAUUAAAGAACAAAACAUUUCAAUUGAAAUCCUUAACUGAUAUUUUUUAUAGCAAUACUUUUAGAGUAGUUAAUACUUGUAAAUAGUAAUAAAAUCUUGUUUGACAUUUUUAUUAGCGGUUUUGAGAUUGUAUCAUUAGACACAUAGGCCAAUACAUUAUUCUUUUAAUAGUCCUAUUUAAAAGACCAAGACAAAUGAGUAAAUAAAAGUGCUGUUACCGGUUGCCAUUGAGAGUUUGAUGACGGACAAUAUCUUAUCUUCCUCGGGGGUAAAAUAUCACCGAUAUCAGGGCUAAGAUGAUUCACCUACCUUAGUCUACAACUCUUACCAUUCCUAUGCAACCCUGUUAAAUUACAAAACUAAUCUGGAUAUAUAACCAAAUACAAACCCGCUAAAAUGAGACAUAAAUUAAUAGCACAGUUUAACAAAAAAGGAGUCCAUAUAUACCAGCAAGUUUAGGAAGGUUUGUGUAAUUGCAUGUAUCAUGUUUUUGGACGUAAGAUACCAACUUACUAUCUUCUUCAGAAUUCCAUGCUCCUUUUGUUUUUUCUUAUAUUUUCUCAGCCGACCUCCUUAUCUCUGACUAUAUAUAUGUAAGAGAUAUUAAAGAAUUGUUUAAAUGAGUUGCAUACAGAGUUGAUAUUUAUAGAUAUAAACCAACUAUUUAUACUUAUUCGUACAAAAGUAAAUAUUUUUUUGCCCCGGGCGCAAAUAUUAUUUAAUAAUUCUGGAUUUUUAUUCCUUCGCCCAGACACAUUAAAACAAUAUUAUAUUCAAAUUUAUUGAUUUUUCUAGUACAAACUAAAGUUUUUCUCUUGUCAGAUGAACAUACUCGAAUGGUACAUUACUCGUACAAGAAUAUACUCCAUAGAGAGGAAUUACUUUCUCGUACAAGAAUAUAUUCUGUAAAGAGGAAUUUCUUUCUCGUACAAGAAUAUAUUCCAUAAAGAGGAAUUUCUUUCAUUCAAGAAUCUGUCGAGUAUGUACACUUGACAAGGAAAAACUUUGGUUUGUCAUAGAAAAAUCAAUUAAUUUGAAUAUAAUAUUGUUCCCAUAUGUCUAGGGCCAAGGAAUAAAAAUUCGUAAAUAUUAAAUAAUAUAUGGGCCCGAGGGAAAAGAAUCUCUACUUUUGUAAGAAUAGGUAAAAUAGUUGGUUUAUAUAUGUAAAUACCAACUCAAUGUGCAACUCAUUUCUGUAGUUUUUUCUUAUCUCUUGCAUAUACAUAGUCGAAAUGGAGAAAGAGAGAUAAUGAGGUCAGCUGAGAGAAUGAAAGUGGCAAAGGAGCAUGGACUUUUGAAGAAGAUAGCAAGUUGGUGUCUUAAGUCCAAGAACAUGGUACAUGCAAUUGGACAGUCGUUCCUAAAAUUGCUGGUAUAUAACUUUUUUGUUUUGCUAUAAUGUGCUAUUAAUUCAUGUCUCAUUUCGGAUGAGUUUGUAUUUGGUUACAUAUCCAGAUUAGUUUCGUAAUUUAUUAGGGUUGCUUAGGAAUGGUAACAGUUGUAGAGUAGGGUGGAUGAAUCAUCUUAGCCCUGAUUUGAAAGGGGAAAUUUUACUACUGACGAAAAUCAGAUAAUUAUCCGUCAUCAAGCUCUCUCUAUGGCAACUGAUACUGGCUCUUUUAUUUACUCAUUUCUCUUGGCCUCUUAAAUAGGACAAUGAAAAGAAGAAUUCAUUAGCGUACGUGUUUCGUAUACAAUCUUAAAGUCGCUAAUUCGUAAAAACAUUUGCCUUCUCCUGAUUAUUCAGUUGAGUAGUUAUCGAAUUCACUACUAUUACAUUCUUACACAUCUUGUCAUAGUAGGCCUUUAUGUAGUCUAAUCCCCCAAUAGUAGCAACAUCGUCAAAAUGUUUAUAGUCUUCAAAAUUCUGUUUUCCUUCAACACCACAACUGUUAAUUUUUUAGGUUGAAGAUUUCCUGGAAAUGUUUUUUUUAAAAAUUUAAAUCUAUGUUACUAUGUUAAUGGAUUUGACACUUUAAAAUUUAUUCAGACUUCGUGUAUGUGCAGAUGGGCUACUAUUGUUGCACACCUGCUUGGUAGGACAGAUAAUAACAUUAAAAACUACUGGCAUGUCCCCAAAACUGACAUAUAUAAGGGGACAAUGUUCUGUACUUCAUUGGUUUCCAAGUCUUGAAAAUAGACUGAUCAAAUGAUCAAGGUUACUGUGUACUUAUAAUGAAUAAAUAUACUUGAGUCCUGCUUAGUCAAACAUAUAUGAGAUUUUGUGCUUUUGUGUAUCUUAAGUCAUAUAUAGUUUUACCGCAAGCUUAGCAUACCCGAAAGAAAGGUGAAAUCUUGUUACUUGAUGUAAUUACAGUUUUGAGACUUCCUCCAAGACACAUCAGCAUUACAUAUGAUACUGAAUUUAAGUUACAGCUGGCCUCUUUCUAAUUUCUCUAUAUAACUGAUUUACUUACCCCUUUAGAUGCUCUUAUACAGAGAACAUGGGAAUGUGCAAACUUGGCGACAACGCUGGGCCAUGUUGGUAAAUCGCUGACCUCUAUUGAUCUGAUUUUGUUAAUUGCAUUUUGGCUUAAUUCUUGAACUAACUUGAUGUUUAUAUGGUAAACUUCAUAGUUUCUGUGGUGCACACUGCAUAAGCUUUUAGUCUUUUGGCUGUCCGAGUCAAGAUGGGUUGCUUCCCGUACUAUGUAUUUUUUUCCCGCUUAAAAGCAGAGUCAGUGCUCGUAUGGUAAUAUAAUAAAAUUAGGCCGACGCAUAUGGAAACUGCUCUAAACUGUAUAGAAGUUGUUAAUUUGAUCCUUCCCCUCCCCUCUACUGUAUUAUUUCUGUUUUAUAUGUGAAUGCUCAUUCAGCUAUUCCCUAAUGUAGUUGUUGCCAAGGAUGAUGAAAAACUUGCUACUUGUUGUCGAGGAUUUGGUGCUGAUGUUAUAAUGACAUCCGAAUCAUGUCGAAAUGGUAAAGAAUAGUCCAUUAUCGUAAUUUCCCACUGGUUUCAGAAAUUUCUGUUGCAUAUUAGUGUAGGUAUUAUAGCUGUGAAGUUGAAAGAAAAGAUAUAGAGGAUGUUAUUUUAAAUGCUGUUACAGUAAUGAAUGUGUCAACAUUCAUAUAUUAACUACUUUUCCUUGCAGGGGAUAAAAGUUGACCACAAUGCCAUGGUGUUGACAGCCAAGAAGAUGUUGAAAAAAUUGAACGUUAUACGCGUGGGAGAAAUUUGUCUUCGUCCUGCAGGGUACAAGCAGUUUAUAGAAGAAGACCUGGAAUAUAGUCUUGGAAGGAGGUACACUAUCUUCUAGUUAUGGUCAUGUAUCUAUUUAUGAUUAUUUGCUGGUUGAUAGUAUCUUGUAUACCAUUUAUAUUAUAAGUGAAGGUUGUGAUAAUGAAGUAUUAAAAGUCAGAUAAACACAAGAAGUCGGUAUAUUUUUGAAAUUACCAAGCAAUACACUAAGUAUAUGAAUGCAUUUCAUAUGCUCGAAUUAUGUUGCUAUAAGCUGGACCUCAGUUUUGAAGAGAAGAAAAGAGAGGUUAUGGGAAUCGACAGAAAAAUAAAUGAAGCCUCCAGGAGAGUGAGUCACAAACGAUCCAAAACUCCUCCCAACUAUGCAGUGCCAUAGCCGUCCAUAUAAUGAGUCAAACUCCUUCAGAAAAUUUGAUAGAAGUCAUUAGAAGAUCUUAUAAUUUUAACUUAAUCGGCAAUCACUUGAGUAUAGCCACGUAUAAGUGUGAAUUUGUUAGCAAGCACGUAAGUGUAAUUCAACAGUACCUUUUUGAGGGAUCGAGCAAGGAGGGAAGGGCUGGGGGAACAAUUAGUUGUAUCACGCAGAAGUGAAUUGGUGAAACAGAGGGCGUGGUCCUGCAUAGAACAAGGCAUGUUACCUGAUAUUAAUCGCAUGGUCGACCUUAUUGCCAUGUCAUUUGGUUUUAACUUGUUGCCGGUGUCUUGAUCUUCUCCUUCAUCAUCCACUUCUGUUAAACUAGGUAGUUUCUUUUCUCGUCUGCAUAGCAUUAGCAGCUGCUUCUGCUUCUCAGUCUCCCGAACCUCGUGAUCUUUCUUCAGAGUCUUCUUCCUCUCCAUGUAGGUCUUUACAAUCUUUUCAGCUUCUAUAUGUGUAUCUAUGUGGGCAAGAUAGUUGAAUUAUGGUCUAUGAGUAUUUAGACAGUGUGAAUGUGGAAUGGCUGGACGGCAGCAUGGCAUUUAUGUGUAUGUGUAUAUUUGAAUGUUGACUGAGUAGGUGGGUGUAGAAUAAUGCACCAGAAAAAGAUAGGAAAUUUGAGUCCUUAUAUUCCUGGUUUGCAUUGUUAGAACACUGUUGAACAAGUAGUGACGUGACAGUGGCAAACAAGAACUAGAGAUAAUAGCAAGUUGCAGUCCUGCACGAGUUGUGCAUGAUAUGCAAAUCAAAUGCAAGAUUAGUGUGAGCUUUUGACCAAUUUUGUAUUUAUAACCUGUCCGGUUUCUCUUCAUUUCUUUAGGUGUUGAUGUCUACGCUAUUUUGUUUUGAAUCUUAUUUAAUACUCCAUCCCGCGUAAAUGUUCACGGCAUGGAAGUGAAAAAAUAUGAAAAAUAAGAGAAAGUGAGGAUGGUGAUAUGACUGAUUAAUAUUUAAUAUAUAAAGUUAGUAUCGUGGAAGAAAAUAGUGUGGGUAUUUGGUUUUUAUAUUAUAAAAUUUUAUUAUAUUUGAUAAAUAUUGAAAUGUAAAUAAUUAAACGAGAUAUUUAAAAGAAAAAUGUAAAAAAUGGUUGAGAUGAAGGGAAACGCAGAGCAGCUUCUAUUUUGAUGGAGUAAGUGUUUGUUCGAAUUUUCGUGUACGUAAUAUCCGAUCUCUUGUUUGCAGGAUGUUUUUUCCAAUGUCUGGUUUUGUCGGCAGAAGUUCUUGAAACGAGCUCAGACUGCAUUGAUUCUUCAAUCCGUGUUGAAGCAUCUUUGUAAUUCGAAAGAUGGUUAUAUUCUUCGUUUUAAUGUAGUAUUUUAUGAUGGUAAAUUUCUUCUCCUUAUGAAAUUGUGAUAUUUUCUUGGUUAUAUUGUUUAUAGUUGUUUGAUAAUUUUGCUUUUUAUUAUCCAAAAAACUUGGAUACCGGUAUAUUUAUUCCUGAUUUCUUUUUUCUUUUUUUUUUUGAGAAAGUUAGUCCUGAUUUCUUAUUUCUAUGUUUAAGAAAAACAUUCUUUCCGUUUCUUUUUAGUUGUUCAAACUUUCAACAAUGAUCAUUGACAUUUCUUGACAAGAUAUUAACAAUAAUUUUUUUUAUUAUCUUAAAAUUUUAAAAUUAUAUUUUAUAAUAAAUUAUAUAGAAUUUCAAUUAAAUUUGAAAUAAAAAACUGGAAAACGAGAAAAACGGAGCGCUUUUGUUUUGAAAGAAAAAUGGUCUUGAUUCUUAAAUAACUGUGGGCGGCAAAGUCAAAUCCACGGGCCCAUGAUUGAACGUGGACCAUUUGGAUAAAUAAUUACGGACCGAGGAUGGCCCAUGAAAAUAUAAACCAAUUUGGAAAAUGAAACGUGUCCGAAAAACACAAGUGUUACGGGUCCCACAUUAUCUCAUGACCAAACUCAUCCACCACACACAUGACACACUGACACACAUUUUAGGCUUGUGUCUGUAUAUAUUUUUACUACAACUCCUAAGUUGCAAAAAUUAAAAAAUCCAAAAAAAAUAAUAAUCUACAUUUCUGGUAAUUUUCCGAUGGGUAUUUUGCUUGAAAAUCUCACCGUCCCACGCGCCACCGUUGUCGCGGCGGCGAGUAUCUCUCCGAUCGUAGGUUCAUUAUCUGUUUCUCCGAUCUCGAAGCGCCGGGAAGUUAUAAAGUUACCGGAAUCUAGAGGACUCAAGAUCUCUUCUCGCCGCUCUAGUGGAUCGCUGACUUUUAAUUCUAGAGGCGUUCGCCGUAGUGCAAGGAUCGUUGCUGAAACUCAGGACACUGCUGUUGUAGGUUAGAUCCUUGUGAACAACUUUUACUAUCUCCCAACGAUUACUCUGUUUAGAGGAUGUCGAGAAUUCGAAUCUUAUUAAAAACUUUAACUAUCUCAACACGCAUUUUUUGUUCACAAAUUAAAAGAACUACUCUCUUAUUGGAGUCACGGGUCCUUGAAUUGGAUCCGAUAAGAGCUUACGGAUCAAGUAACUUUGUUUAAUUUAAGAUUAUGCAACUAACUUAGGCUUAAUUUUGGUAAAUUGAAUCGUCUGAUCAUGUGGACUUAACUUAGUAGGAACUUGAAGUUACUACUAUGAGUU
rnacentral:lncRNA from 1 species